ensembl:lncRNA
AUGCCAGAAUCCACACCUACAGCUAAACUUAAGAGUGAAUUUCACUAUGUGUGUAAGACUCAAAUCAAGGAAUUGACCACUCCAGACAAUGUAAUUAAGAUCCUAGAAUCUGAUUUCAGUGAAAGAGAUGUGGAGGAAGCAAUACUUUCUCAGGAAGAUUUCCACUUCUUGACCAAGCUGAAGGAGGGAAUCAUGCAGAAACAUGAUGGUCAUUAUGUAAUGCCCCUGCCUUUCAAACAAGACAGACCAAACCUGCCUAGCAAUAAAGCAUGUGCUGUUCAUCGGUUGUCAUGCUUAAAGCGCAGAUUCAAGAGAGACCAGAAAUAUCACACAGGCUAUAAGAACUUCAUGAAAGACCUCAUAGCUCGUGGUGAGGCAGAAAAGAUCACAGAUGAGGAAUUGAACAACGAACCAGCCUGGUAUAUACCUCAUCAUGGUGUAUACCACCCUCAAAAGCCAGGGAAGAUACGAGUAGUCUUUGAUUGCUCUGCAAGGUUUCAAGACACUUCCCUGAAUGACCAUCUUCUUACAGGUCCAGAUCUUACAAACAACUUGGUGGGAGUUCUUUGUAGGUUUCGUGAGGGACCCAUAGCUGUCAUGUGUGACGUCGAACGCAUGUUUCAUCAGUUUCAUGUUAAGACUGAAGACCAGGACUACUUAAGGUUCUUAUGGUGGGAGGAUGAUGAUCUGGAAUCUUCACCAUCAGUGUUUCGAAUGAAGGUACAUCUGUUCGGGGCAGCCUCCUCACCUGGGUGUGCCAACUUUGGGUUGAAGCAUUUAGCUAGUCAGUGUCAGGAUCAGUUCAGUGAAAGCACUGUUAAAUUCAUUCAGAGAAGUUUUUAUGUUGAUGAUGGAUUAGUGAGUGUUAUGUCGGAUGCUGAGGCAAUCCAACUCAUUAAGGAAGCCAGAGAGCUCUGCAAAACAGGGAAGCUUAGACUGCAUAAGUUUGUUUCCAACAGCAAGCCUGUUUUGAAAUCAGUACCAGAGGAAAAGCGUGCUGAUAGUGUCAAAACCCUGGACAUGGCUUUGGGAGAGCCUCUAUGUGAGAGAGCUCUUGGUGUUCAGUGGUGCAUAUCUUCCGAUGACUUUCAGUUCAGAAUUACUGUCAAGGAACACCCACUGACCAGAAGAGGAGUACUGUCUACAGUAGCUUCCGUCUAUGACCCGUUAGGAUUCUUAGCUCCGUUUGUCCUAAGAGGAAAGCAAAUUCUACAGAAACUGUGCAGAGAGAAGGUUGGUUGGGAUGAGUUCCUCCCAGAAGAACUCAGAACACAGUGGACAUCCUGGCUAGAAGAUCUUCAGAAUUUGUCUAAAGUGAAGAUCAAAAGACCUUACCUACCAGUAAGCUUCUAUGAGGUUAAGCAAUAUCAGCUUCAUCAUUUUUCAGACGCGAGUGUCACAGGUUAUGGAGAGUGUACGUACCUUAGAGCAGUUAAUGCUGAUGGAGAAGUCCAUUGCUCUUUUGUUAUGGGAAAGGCACGCGUUGCUCCUACUAAGGUAACCACGGUACCACGUCUUGAGCUAUCUGCAGCAGUAGUAGCAGCAAGGACAAGUGUUGUUCUCAGCGAAGAACUUGAACUGAAGGAUCUUCAAGAACAUUUUUGGACUGACUCAAGGGUAGUUCUUGGAUACCUAAAUAAUGAUGCAAGACGUUUUCAUGUGUUUGUGGCAAAUAGAGUCCAAAGAAUUAGGUCAAUUACAGAACCCCAACAGUGGCAUUAUGUGCAGUCUGCAGAUAAUCCUGCAGAUCAUGCAUCCAGAGGACUAACGGCAGAUGAGCUUGUUGCUUCAAACUGGCUCACUGGCCCAGAUUUCUUGUGGAAAAGGGAGCUACCCACAAGUGAAGUGAAAGUGGAAGAAGUCAGUGACAAUGAUCCAGAACUCCGAAAGGUGCAGGUGCUCAAAACCAGUGCAAAGGAAGACAGGACAUUGUUAGAUCGUUUGACAAAGUUUCUGACUGGAAAAGAGCCAUUAAAGGUAUUGCUAGUCUUAAGCGCUUAG